AGGGCAAGGAGACGCCCUCAGCCAAGAGGCCUUGCAGGCCAGAUGAGGGGGGGGGGAUCAUAACCCUGACAGGAAGAGGCUGAUGCUAGGAAGAAGGGUCCUGCCACCUAGAGCCCGAGGGCAUGUGGCCACCACCAGAUCAGGGAAGCAUCCAAAGUGAAGAGAGCACCCCGAAGUGGAGGAGCCCUUGUCUGCAUCCUCAGUGAUCCCAACAAGAUUGAGGGUUAAGUCCCCUCAGGAAUUCUGGGUUCAACAACAUCGGAGUUACAGGGACUAGACUGGAAGGAUUCUCCCUUCCCAAACCUGAGCUGAUCUCCCGCCUGGAACGAGGGGAAGAGCCGUGGGUCCCGCAUCUCCAGGUCUGCGAGGAAAGAGAGAGCCUGAGAGCUGACCACACAGGUGAGGACUGACACAGAAAUGGGGAAUGAAGGAAAAAGUUGAGAAUCCCAAAUAUAUGGUGUGAGUAAGCACCCUCAGUUCUUCCUCAUCUCACUCAGUGUAGCACAGUAGUCAGCAGAUAUCACUCACAGCUUCUACCAAGCCUGUUGGCCGCAAGAG